CAUCUAUAUCUUUGAGAUAGGAAGACAUACCUUUUAUUCAGAUUUUUGGAGCUAGGAAAACCCACCUCUAAUCUGAGCAAUGAUUUCUGCUGGAAGCUUGUAUAAGGACAUGGAAUAAAGAAGCCUGGGUUCUCUUUGCUUGCUUGCUCUUGCCUCACUAUCAAGUCCAUUCCUUCACAGACAUUAGAGCCUACUUCUUCACCAGAUGAGACUUCCAGCUCUCUAGAACUACUUAUCAACUACUGAAUUUUUCAACUUUCUGUUCAUAGGUAGCCCAGCCAGUCUUCCUUUCUUCUGAAAUUGCAUUGAUACAAUUCGGAGAACAUUGAAACAGGCUUGAUGAGACUUCAGAGGAAAAGUCUGGCUGACCAUGUACCCAAAGUCACUCCUAGAAGUCCUCUACCUUGAACCAAAUUGAAGCACCUUGAGUUUGGGCAGAAUUACAUCCACGGUACUCUGGGAAACGAAACUGGCCCUUUUAUGAAGCCACGGGAUAGCUCCAGAUAGGGGGCUAGCAUUACUCCUAGAUGAGGCCAAUCCAUGAAAAAAUUCUUAAAACUCUCCAACAAAUCUUCUACUUGGGAACAGACUCAACUUGUCACAUCAG
rnacentral:lncRNA from 1 species